rnacentral:rRNA from 1 species
GCUUAGAGAGGGGUCAAUGUCCUAUCAGCUAGUUGGUAGGGUAAUAGCCUACCAAGGCUAAGACGGGUAGCCGACCUGAGAGGGUGGUCGGCCACACUGGGACUGAGACACUGCCCAGACUCCUACGGGAGGCUGCAGUCGAGAAUCUUUCGCAAUGCCCGAAAGGGUGACGAAGCGACGCCGCGUGUGGGAAGAAGGCCUUCGGGUUGUAAGCCACUGUCGGGAGUUAAGAAAUGUAAGGGUGUUAAUAGCAUCCUUACUUGACUAAGGCUCCGGAGGAAGCCACGGCUAACUCUGUGCCAGCAGCCGCGGUAAUACAGAGGCGGCAAGCGUUGUUCGGAAUUAUUGGGCGUAAAGAGCACGUAGGCGGCCUUGUAAGUCAGUUGUGAAAGCCUUCUGCUCAACGGAAGAACAGCAUCUGAUACUGCAAGGCUAGAGUACGGAAGGG